rnacentral:rRNA from 1 species
UACGUAGGUGGCAAGCGUUGUCCGGAUUUACUGGGCGUAAAGAGCGCGCAGGCGGUCGUUCAAGUCGCGUGUGAAAGCCCCCGGCUCAACUGGGGAGGGUCACGCGUACUGAUCGACUCGAAGGCAGGAGAGGGUAGUGGAAUUCCCCGGUGUAGUGGUGAAAUGCGUAGAUAUCGGGAGGAACACCAGUGGCGAAGGCGACUACCUGGCCUGUUCUUGACGCUGAGGCGCGAAAGCUAGGGGAGCAAACGGGG